CUUCCUUUUUCAUCUGCACAGAAUCAAAAACAUCUACGGCAAGUCAAAACUGCAGUGGAACAAGGUAUUCAGGUGUCACUACGCAAGUGCCACUCCCACUGCCUACGAGAACUCUUGAACGUGUUGCCCUUUAAAAAAAAAAUCAAGGUAAGUUCAAAACCAUAUAUUUCCAUUUGAUUUUUUUCUAUCUGACCUAAAAGACGUUAAUAUAUAGCCUACUAAAGAGUAAAUAAAUUAAAAAAAAAAAAGUCACAAUGUUAGCAUAUACUGUAUGCAUUCUUUCCUC
rnacentral:lncRNA from 1 species